GAUAUCACACUUGAAUAAUCGAUCGGCGGGGCAAAGGUGCAUCGAUCGAUAUCCCUAUAGGAUUGUCGAUCGACACUUUUUAUUGAUCAAAAUACAACAGUUGAGAUCAAUAGAUCUAGUUAAUAGACGAGUCCAAACAUUGCGAACGCUGAUGGACUUGUUGAUCAAGAAGUUGAGAAUUACAUUAUCAUGCAAGUAACUCAUUAGGCAUCUGUAGGAUUAUAAUCCCAAUUUUCCUGAA
rnacentral:lncRNA from 1 species